rnacentral:rRNA from 1 species
AUUGAACGCUGGCGGCAUGCUUUACACAUGCAAGUCGAACGGCAGCACGGGCUUCGGCCUGGUGGCGAGUGGCGAACGGGUGAGUAAUAUAUCGGAACGUACCCAGAAGUGGGGGAUAACGUAGCGAAAGUUACGCUAAUACCGCAUACGAUCUAUGGAUGAAAGCAGGGGACCGCAAGGCCUUGUGCUCCUGGAGCGGCCGAUAUCUGAUUAGCUAGUUGGUGAGGUAAAGGCUCACCAAGGCGACGAUCAGUAGCUGGUCUGAGAGGACGACCAGCCACACUGGAACUGAGACACGGUCCAGACUCCUACGGGAGGCAGCAGUUGGGAAUUUUGGACAAUGGGCGCAAGCCUGAUCCAGCAAUGCCGCGUGAGUGAAGAAGGCCUUCGGGUUGUAAAGCUCUUUUGUCAGGGAAGAAACGGUAGAGGCUAAUAUCCUUUGCUAAUGACGGUACCUGAAGAAUAAGCACCGGCUAACUACGUG